GUUGGAUGCAGUCUAGUCGGAGGAUGAGCAAAUAAUCGGGCUGCUAUGAAGGAGACUAUUAUAGUGACAUAGGCACAACAAAGUUCAUCGAUAAUUUAUCACCACCAGCAGUAGCAGCAGAGAACCCUAAUGUUUGCUGGCUGACAAAGUCGGUCGUAACGGUAGUGCACCCCUUCUGCUCUCUUUCAAAGGGGGUUGUUGUGGCAUUUGGCACAAGGAAGAACGAUGCGACCGGAUCCCACCCCGGUAUAAAGUCAAGUGGAAUUGGGUGUGCCUUAUGAUGCGUGAAACAUGGUUUAGUCUUUCGAUCUACUGCUGGCGACUUCGUUUGCCUGAAUCUAAUUGAUAUUUAUGGGCAUUAUGUGCUCAUCACAUCGGCAGACUAUUCAACGCAGCGAAACGUUGUCGCUAAUCUAAUUAGUAAAACAACGGCAAUGAUAAUAAAGGAGGAUGAUAAAUGAAUGAGUGGAAUCAUGCUGCUCACGUUGAUCAUCAGGAGAAAAUCGAUCAAUGAAGCAUUGCAGUUGCAUACUCUGCAUAACUGGAUAAUAAGUAUUUAUUGUACUAAGUAUAAUUGAUCUAUAUUUGAUUGACGGCAAAUACAUAAAUAAAAGGCUGAG